rnacentral:rRNA from 1 species
UACAGAGGUCUCAAGCGUUUGUUCGGAUUCAUUGGGCGUAAAGGGUGUGUAGGCGGCGCCGUAAGUCAGGUGUGAAAUCUCGGGGCUUAACUCCGAAACUGCAUUUGAUACUGCGGUGCUUGAGGACUGGAGAGGAGACUGGAAUUUACGGUGUAGCGGUGAAAUGCGUAGAUAUCGUAAGGAAGACCAGUGGCGAAGGCGGGUCUCUGGACAGUUCCUGACGCUGAGACACGAAGGCCAGGGGAGCAAACGGG